rnacentral:rRNA from 1 species
UGGGGAAUAUUGCACAAUGGAGGGAACUCUGAUGCAGCGACGCCGCGUGAACGAAGAAGGCUUUCGAGUCGUAAAGUUCUUUUAUAUGGGAAGAUAAUGACGGUACCAUAAGAAGAAGCCCCGGCUAACUACGUGCCAGCAGCCGCGGUAAUACGUAGGGGGCUAGCGUUGUCCGGAAUCACUGGGCGUAAAGGGUUCGCAGGCGGAAAUGCAAGUCAGGUGUAAAAGGCAGUAGCUUAACUACUGUAAGCAUUUGAAACUGCAUAUCUUGAGAAGAGUAGAGGUAAGUGGAAUUUUUAGUGUAGCGGUGAAAUGCGUAGAUAUUAAAAAGAAUACCGGUGGCGAAGGCAACUUACUGGGCUCAUUCUGACGCUGAGGAACGAAAGCGUGGGUAGCAAACAGG